rnacentral:lncRNA from 1 species
UCAUGGCACUGUGAGCUAAUUGGCACGCAAAAAUUCUCCUUGGCACGCUAGUUUUCUGGCUUGGCACGACCUGUGAGUCGACUCAUGAGUCGACCCACAAGGCAUGAGUCGACUCAUGAGUCGACCCCUGCUAAUUUGAGCCAAAAAAUUUUCAGAAACGCAUUCUCUGGUUUUUGCAACAGAGGUCGACUCAUGAGUCGACCCCUGAAGCAUGAGUAGUCGACCCCUGCGACGGGAAUUGUCAGCAACGGCUAUUUUUUUACCCGUUUUAAUUGCCAUUUAUGCUUCCUAAAAAUCCUCUAACGGCUCUUUAUCUACCUAAAUUAUUUUUUCUUGCUUCUAAUGCUACAAAAUGCUUUAAAUGAUGAAAGAAAUUGCAGAUUAAAUAGCGGAUCAAACGUGAAAUCAAAAAAAGACGAAAAAGAAGAGAAGUAGAGAAGAAGAGAAGAAUAGAAGAAAGGAUCCAAAA